rnacentral:lncRNA from 1 species
AUUAAACAAAAGUGAAAUAUAAAAUAGUAGUAGUAAUAAAAAAUACAAAAACAAUAUAAAAAAUAUUAUAAUAAAAAACAAAAAAAAGGAGGAGAUGAGAGAUUAGAGAAGAUGAAAAAGAAAAAAUAUAAGAGAUGCGAUAUUAGAGAAGAAAGGUGGGAUAAAAAUGUAGUUGGAAGAAAAAUCAAUAACAUAAAAACGAGAAGAUGAAAAAUAAAAAACAUAAGAGGAGAGAGAUUAGAGUAAAAGAUGUGAGACAU